UACGUAGGUGGCAAGCGUUAUCCGGAAUUAUUGGGCGUAAAGAGCGCGCAGGUGGUUGAUUAAGUCUGAUGUGAAAGCCCACGGCUUAACCGUGGAGGGUCAUUGGAAACUGGUCGACUUGAGUGCAGAAGAGGGAAGUGGAAUUCCAUGUGUAGCGGUGAAAUGCGUAGAGAUAUGGAGGAACACCAGUGGCGAAGGCGAUUCUCUGGACUGUAACUGACGCUGAGGCUCGAAAGCGUGGGGAGCAAACAGGAUUAGA
rnacentral:rRNA from 1 species